AUUUAAGGUUUAAUCUGCUCAAUGAGGAUUUAAAUUGCCGCGGUAUUUUGACCGUGCAAAGGUAGCAUAAUAAGUAGUUUUUUUAUUGAAAGCUGGUAUGAAUGAUUGGACGAGAAAAUUACUGUCUCUAUUGAAUUAAUUUUUUAAUUUAACUUUUGAGUAAAAAGGCUCAAAUUUAUUUCAAAGACGAGAAGACCCUAUAGAGUUUAAUACCAUAAAAAAAUAUAGAGUUUUUGGUUAUUUAAUAUUUGUAUUUUUUAUAGUAUUUAGUUGGGGUGACUUAAAGAUUUAAUAAACUCUUUUAAAUUUUAAUCAUUUAUUUAUGAAUCUAAAAUCUAAUAUUUUUAAAUUUAAUAUAAAUUACCUUAGGGAUAACAGCGUAAUUUCUUUUUAGAGUUCUUAUUGAAAGAGAAGUUUGCGACCUCGAUGUUGGAUUAAAAUUAAUUUUUGGUGCAGAAGCUUGAAAAUUAGGUCUGUUCGACCUUUGAAAUUUUACAUGAUCUGAGU
rnacentral:rRNA from 1 species